AACCUACCUUUAACAGGAAGAUAGCCCCGAGAAAUCGGAUUAAUACUCCAUAGUAAUGAGUUUCGGCAUCGUUUCUCAUUUAAAGCUCCGGCGGUUAAAGAUGGGCAUGCGUGACAUUAGUUGGUUGGUGAGGUAACGGCUCACCAAGACUACGAUGUCUAGGGGUUCUGAGAGGAUGAUCCCCCACACUGGUACUGAGACACGGACCAGACUCCUACGGGAGGCAGCAGUGAGGAAUAUUGGUCAAUGGACGCAAGUCUGAACCAGCCAUGCCGCGUGCAGGAUGACGGCCCUAUGGGUUGUAAACUGCUUUUAUUAAGGAAUAAACCCCAUUACGUGUAAUGGGCUGAACGUACUUAAGGAAUAAGCAUCGGCUAACUCCGUGCCAGCAGCCGCGGUAAUACGGAGGAUGCAAGCGUUAUCCGGAUUCAUUGGGUUUAAAGGGUUCGCAGGCGGCGUAUUAAGUCAGUGGUGAAAUCCCCCGGCUCAACCGGGAACUGCCAUUGAUACUGGUAUGCUAGAGUAUAGUUGGCGUAGCGGAAUAUUUCAUGUAGCGGUGAAAUGCUUAGAUAUGAAAUAGAACACCGAUCGCGAAGCAGCUUACGAAGCUAUAACUGACGCUCAGGAACGAAAGCGUGGGGAGCGAACAGGAUUAGAUACCCUGGUAGUCCACGCUGUAAACGAUGAUUACUCGUUGUCGGCGAUACACAGUCGGUGGCUAAGCGAAAGUGAUAAGUAAUCCACCUGGGGAGUACGAUCGCAAGGUUGAAA
rnacentral:rRNA from 1 species